AGAGCGAACGCUGGCGGCAGGCCUAACACAUGCAAGUCGAACGGACUCUUCGGAGUUAGUGGCGGACGGGUGAGUAACACGUGGGAACGUGCCUCUUGGUUCGGAAUAGCUCCUGGAAACGGGUGGUAAUGCCGAAUGUGCCCUUCGGGGGAAAGAUUUAUCGCCAUUAGAGCGGCCCGCGUCUGAUUAGCUAGUUGGUGAGGUAAAGGCUCACCAAGGCUACGAUCAGUAGCUGGUCUGAGAGGAUGACCAGCCACAUUGGGACUGAGACACGGCCCAAACUCCUACGGGAGGCAGCAGUGGGGAAUCUUGCGCAAUGGGCGAAAGCCUGACGCAGCCAUGCCGCGUGAAUGAUGGAAGGUCUUAGGAUUGUAAAAUUCUUUCAGUAGGGACGUAUAAUAGACGUACUACAGAAGAACGCCCGACUAACGUCGUCGCACGCGAGCCGACGU
rnacentral:rRNA from 1 species